rnacentral:lncRNA from 1 species
UGGGAGGUGACUGGGUUUUAACAUCUCCACACAUGGGCCUUAAUGAAUGUGAUCAGCACCCACUUAAAAAGAAAUCUGGAGCUGGCAAGAUGGCUCAGUGGGUAAAAGGUACUGGUCACAAAGCCUGAUGACUCGGUUCCUCCUGGGUUCCAUAUGGUGGAAAGUGAGAACCAACUCCUUCCUGCCAGUUGUCUUCUGACCUCUACACGUGCCGUAUCGUGCUUGUGUUCAAGGGCCUGUAUGUUCAGGGUAGGUCUUCCCAUGUCAGUUACACCUUUACUGACACACUUGAGGUAUGUCUCCUAGGUGACCUCAUAUCUAGGUGACAAUGAAGAUUUACCAUCACCAGGAGCUUAUGACCAGAUACAACCAGAGGGGUGUCCUCUGCCUUUGCCUCCUCCUCAGUGUCCAGUUCCCAUAUCUGAGUCCUGCAGGAGAUCGCCAUGAGCCCUAUGAUCACUUCUGCAGCUGCCAAGCCUAGGCUACAUGGAGCCUUCAUGGGUUGGCAGUCCUGGGCUACCAUGUUGCCA